GAUGAACGCUGGCUCCAGGCUUAACACAUGCAAGUCGAGGGGAAACGACGGGGAAGCUUGCUUCCCCGGGCGUCGACCGGCGCACGGGUGAGUAACGCGUAUCCAACCUGCCUCUGACUGAGGGAUAACCCGUCGAAAGUCGGCCUAAUACCUCAUGGUAUCGUCUGCGGGCAUCCAACGACGAUUAAAGAUUUCAUCGGUCAGGGAUGGGGAUGCGUCUGAUUAGCUUGUUGGCGGGGUAACGGCCCACCAAGGCUACGAUCAGUAGGGGUUCUGAGAGGAAGGUCCCCCACAUUGGAACUGAGACACGGUCCAAACUCCUACGGGAGGCAGCAGUGAGGAAUAUUGGUCAAUGGGCGAGAGCCUGAACCAGCCAAGUAGCGUGCAGGAAGACGGCCAUAUGGGUUGUAAACUGCUUUUAUGCGGGGAUAAAGUGAGGGACGUGUCCCUCAUUGCAGGUACCGAAUGAAUAAGGACCGGCUAAUUCCGUG
rnacentral:rRNA from 1 species